UUGAAUCAAGAUCUGAUCACUCU
rnacentral:snRNA from 1 species